AGAUUCCUGAAUCAAGAUUUUCUGUCAUAGAUUGGUUGAAGGGAGGUAAGAAGGAGAGGAGAGGGGUACAAGGAGCUGAGAUGUUACUGAAGAGGAAGAUGGAGAAAGAGGGAAGGAUGAGCGAACCACGCCCUUCUUGUCCUGGGAGAGCAUCAGAGGCCUGCUGGGGACUGAUUGUAGGGUUGUGACAACGAUGCCAGCAUUCUUUGGAGAUGGCGGCGCCUCAUAAAGCUCUUAAAGAAGUGGAUUCAUAUAUCAGGGAGAAGGAAAGGGAAGAAGUCAGCAAUCACAGAAUCAAGAGAGCAACCCUGGGCACCAAGCCUUCAAAGUGAUGAUUAUCUUUCUAUAUUAAAGAUUUCAAAGAGUUCG